GGGGGGGGGGGGGGGGGGGGGGGGGGGAGGCGGGGCGGAGGGGAGGGCCCUGGUUGGGGGGGAGUCGGGUGGCGGCCGGGUGGGUAACACGUGGGGGAGCGGCCCUGCACUUCGGGAUAAGCUUGGGAAACUGGGUCUAAUCGCGGCUCGGGCCCCUCUUUAGUGUAGUUUUUUGAACUUUUAUUCGGGUUCGGAUGGGAUCUCCGCCUAUCAGCUUUGUUGUGUUGUAAUGGCCUACCAAGGCGGCGACGGGUAGCCGGCCUGAGAGGGUGUACGGACACAUUGGGACUGAGAGACGGCCCAGACUCCUACGGGAGGCAGCAGUGGGGAAUAUUGCACAAUGGGCGCAAGCCUGAUGCAGCGACGCCGCGUGGGGGAUGAAGGCCUUCGGGUUGUAAACUCCUUUCGCUAGGGACGAAGCUGUUUGUGACGGUACCUAGAUAAGAAGCACCGGCUAACUACGUG
rnacentral:rRNA from 1 species